rnacentral:rRNA from 1 species
CUACGGGCGGCAGCAGUGAGGAAUAUUGCACAAUGGGGGGAAUCCUGAUGCAGCAACGCCGCGUGGAGGAUGACGCAUUUCGGUGUGUAAACUCCUUUUAUAUGUCAAGAAAAUGACGGUAGCAUAUGAAUAAGCACCGGCUAACUCCGUGCCAGCAGCCGCGGUGAAUACGGAGGGUGCAAGCGUUACUCGGAAUCACUGGGCGUAAAGGACGCGUAGGCGGGUUGGAAAGUCAGGUGUGAAAUCCUACAGCUUAACUGUAGAACUGCACUUGAAACUUCUAAUCUAGAGUAUGGGAGGGGGAGAUGGAAUUAGUGGUGUAGGGGUAAAAUCCGUAGAUAUCACUAGGAAUACCUAAAGCGAAGGCGAUCUCCUGGAACAUUACUGACGCUAAGGCGUGAAAGCGUGGGGAGCAAACAGGAUUAGAUACCCGUGUAGUC